rfam:Oryza barthii chromosome 7, whole genome shotgun sequence.
AAUGAGUGUAGUUUUGCACUAUUCACAUUCAACAUUUAACUAUUCGUUUUAUUUGAAAAUUUUUUUAUUAGUAUUUUUAUUGCUAUUAGAUGAUAAACAUAAAUAGUACUUUAUGUGUGACUAAAUAUUUUUAAAUUUUUUGCAAAUUUUUCAAAUAAGACGGACGAUCAAACGUUGGGCACAAAUAUCCACGACUGCACUUAUU